GUGCACUCAGUGCUUGUCUUGCUGCUAUAGUCUGCUCACCGGAACAACCGCCUCUGCGCCCUCUUGGAAGUUCUGCUGGAGAUUGGGCCUCUGUCAUCAUAAAAAGUGUUCUUGAGAGAGUGACGGAGCUUUUUACUGACCGCAAUUCUGCUAGUAAUUACAGCAUGGCUAAUCGAGCGCUAUGGCAGGCAUCAUUUGAUUCUUUCUUUGGACUUCUUACUCGGUACUGC
rnacentral:misc_RNA from 1 species